rnacentral:tRNA from 2 species
GGGGCAGUAGCUCAGUUGGCUAGAGCAUCACACUGGCAGUGUGAGGGUCGAGAGUUCGAGUCUCUUCUGCUCCACCA